CCCUUUGUGGUGUAGUUGGUAUCACACUCGGCUGUAAUGGAACGUUUCAGAUAACCGAUUGGUCACCGGUUCGACUCCGGUCGAAGGGA